rnacentral:misc_RNA from 1 species
GAUGAAGAACGCAGCGAAAUGCGAUAAGUAGUGUGAAUUGCAGAAUUCAGUGAAUCAUCGAAUCUUUGAACGCACAUUGCGCCCCAUGGUAUUCCGUGGGGCAUGCCUGUUCCAGCGUCAUUUACCCCCUCAAGCUCCGCUUGGUGUUGGGCGUCUGUCCCGCUUCGCGCGCGGACUCGCCCCAAAGGUAUUGGCAGCGGUCGUGCCAGCUUCUCGCGCAGCACAUUGCGCUUCUCGAGGCACCGGUGGGCCCGCGUCCAUCAAGCUCACCCCCCCAGUUUGACCUCGGAUCAGGUAGGGAUACCCGCUGAACUUAAGCAUAUCAAUAAGCGGAGGA